rnacentral:rRNA from 1 species
UUAGGAAUCUUGCACAAUGGGGGAAACCCUGAUGCAGCGACGCCGCGUGCGGGACGAAGGCCCUCGGGUCGUAAACCGCUUUCAGCAGGAACGAAAUUGACGGUACCUGCAGAAGAAGCCCCGGCCAACUACGUGCCAGCAGCCGCGGUAAUACGUAGGGGGCGAGCGUUGUCCGGAUUCAUUGGGCGUAAAGAGCUCGUAGGCGGUUCAGUAAGUCGGGUGUGAAAUCUCCGUGCUCAACACGGAGCGGCCACCUGAUACUGCUGUGACUCGAGUCCGGUAGGGGAGUGUGGAAUUCCCGGUGUAGCGGUGAAAUGCGCAGAUAUCGGGAGGAACACCAGUAGCGAAGGCGGCACUCUGGGCCGUGACUGACGCUGAGGAGCGAAAGCGUGGGUAGCAAACAG